AAUGAAUUGCCUGAUUAAAGGGUUGUUUUGAUAGAACAAAUUAUGUAAAUAUUACAUUCAUUA
rnacentral:tRNA from 1 species